ensembl:miRNA gmo-mir-190a-1 gmo-mir-190a-1
AUGUUUGAUAUAUUAGGUUGUUUUUCCACUCCAACUAUAUAUCAAACAUAUUCCU